rnacentral:rRNA from 1 species
GCUAGUAAUCGCGGAUCAGAAUGCCGCGGUGAAUGCGUUCCCGGGUCUUGUACACACCGCCCGUCACACCAUGGAAGUUGGAGGUGCCCAAAGCCGGCAGGGAAAUAUGCUGUCUAAGGCAAAACCAAUGACUGGGGUGAAGUCGUAACAAGGUAAC